AACCCUAUCAUGCUUACUAACUAUGUACUUUAGGAUAUAUUUUUACCAAUUACUUCCACUCGUACCUUCAAGCACAGCACCAGCUGGAAUCACUAGGAAUGAAGUGUUAGUGCACAUACAGCAAUCAGGUGGUCUUCAAGUGAAUUUGCCAGAGAAAUGGCAGCCUGUGGUUACAGUCCUGACUGCCAGCAAUACCACUGCAGAUCAAGGUACUGAAGUUGUGCUACAAGUGGGUCAAUGAUGCCAACCACAGUUUUGGUGCUUACAGGAUUAUGUGAAUUUUCUUUGAGGAGCUGUCCUAACAUCCUAGUGUUGAGCUAAAGUUAAUUUCCCUUUAUAUACUCUUGAUAUUGCCUUUAUAAUACCCUUUAUUGCUUUGUUAAUUAUUAUUGUAUAACCAAUAUCCAUUUUAGGUUUCUUAAAUAACUGUGUAAGUUAGCCUUAGUUGAGAAUCCAUUUUGAUUUUUACAUUGCUUAGCAUAAGUGUGACAGUCAUUUUGGUUUGUGAUUUUGUAGGUUAAACAUAGUAUAAGAGAAGUAGUGUGUAUGCAAGGUUGUGGUAUGUCUGGGUUGUUUGAAAAGAGGUAAUGAAAGAAUAAACAAUAUGUGUGGAAAUGCAU